rnacentral:rRNA from 1 species
GAUGAACGCUGGCGGCGUGCCUAAUACAUGCAAGUCGAGCGAACGGACGAGAAGCUUGCUUCUCUGAUGUUAGCGGCGGACGGGUGAGUAACACGUGGAUAACCUACCUAUAAGACUGGGAUAACUUCGGGAAACCGGAGCUAAUACCGGAUAAUAUUUUGAACCGCAUGGUUCAAAAGUGAAAGACGGUCUUGCUGUCACUUAUAGAUGGAUCCGCGCUGCAUUAGCUAGUUGGUAAGGUAACGGCUUACCAAGGCAACGAUGCAUAGCCGACCUGUGGGGGGGUAGCGCCACAGAGGAACUGAGCAGCCACACGGGGACUUACGGGAGGCAGAAAGUGGUAAGCUACGCAUGAGGGGGAAAGCCUGACGGAUCAGCGGCGGGCUGAUGCAGCAGGUCCUCGUACUGUAAAACGGUCUUAGGAGGGAAAAACAUUUGUGCAUGUAACUAUGCGCAACUGAAGGUAACGUAUAAAGAAAGCCCGGCUAAAUUCGUG